AAAAAAAAAUUCCAUGCUAUUGCUAGAUGAAAGUACAGGUGUUAAAUACCAUUUCUGUUGUGUGUGCACAUGCACACAUGUGAUGGGCCAAUAACCUAUGGCUGUAGCAACACUGCAUAGUGCCUCUGAUAGCAAAGUUGGCUGAAGAGCAGCAUCCACCCUCAACCUGACUCUAGCUGCUCUUCUUCUCCAUGUACAAUUUACCAGAUGCUCAAAUCGAUGACAUAACUAUUUAUGCUGAAAUCCCACAAACACAGCGACCAUAUCCACAACCGGACGUUUGUUUCGACCUUUACCGUAGGCCAAGAGUACAGGCACAUUCAACCUGCCCAAAAAACACUUACCAGCCUGACACAUCCAACCUACGAGCUAGACCACACUGAACAGUGCAGACAAGAUGGAAAGACCAAUUCUGCAUGCACAAACACUUUAAUUAUAUGAGACUGUUACCGGCGGAAAUAACUACGAAAGCUGACAGCAUACAUUAAGGAAAUAACUGCAGGACGACGCUGCAAACUCAGGCUGGCCUGGCUUACUGAAGCUGUGACAUGAGCACCAGAGCUGACGUGAAGAAAGCAUCAGGAGGGCACAUCUACAAACCAAACCACCCUUUUUGGAAACAGUGGGAUGUUAGAUUAGCCCCUGGAAGAGCAUGCAGAGCACAAACUCCUGGAGAUCUUCCAAGCAGCCAGAUGAAGGUUGCCUUUCGGGACCAGUGAAUAUACGUUGUUACGAGAUUCGAAAGGAUGAUCUUGGGCCAAAAUCCGUCCUUCCUUUUACCAAUGUAAAGCCAGAAUACUUCAGUGAAGAUAGAUAUAUAUAUAUGCAUCAGUGUAAAGAUAAAACUGAUCAUUAUGUUGCUAGCAAGGGUGUAAUGCUAAUAUCACCUUUCCAUAAACUUAAUCCCUAAAAAAACCAUACUGAACAUAAUGGGUCAAAGACAUUUGAGCUAGAAGUUUUAUAACCCCCAAAACAUUUGAGAGAGACUUCAUGAUAGACUUAAGGGUCUUCUGUGCUGCUAGUAGAUUUUACCUGGAAAUAAUUCAGAUACCACAGUGAUAACUGACAGUGUAAAUCCUCAGAGGUAUGUUGAAAACCUUUUAAAGUUACGAAUACACCCAUGAUCUGUGUUUUCAUAUUAAUGGGAAUUCCUGUACAUAUGAGUUGUAGUACCUGUGACAGUCAGUACAGAUAUGGAACUUAGAUGUAUUUUCCCAUAAAGUUAUUAGAGAAUCUCGUUUAGCUGUGUUCUCACUAAAUUAUUGUCUGUCAGCCAGCCACUGAAUCUCUCAGUGUUUUGAGCCUGUGGUAUUUCACUUAAGUGUUGCCACUGUGAUUUUAUGGGAUUUUCAGAAUACUGUAGGGAUAUAAUACCAGCUCUCCAGCGUAGAGCAGAAGCUACAGUCUGGCUGCUCAUUCCCAGGAUCCAGUUCAGAAUCCUCAGAUCUCACAGUGUAGCUGAAUCAAACAAAUGCACUGAGAUUGAAAUGAACUAUGUUACUAAAUAAAAGUUUUACUAAUAUGGUGUUAACCUAUAUU
rnacentral:lncRNA from 1 species